GGAUAACGUCCGAAAGGAACGCUAAUACCGCAUACGUCCUACGGGAGAAAGCAGCGGACCUUCGGGCCUUGCGCUAUCAGAUGAGCCUAGGUCGGAUUAGCUAGUUGGUGAGGUAAUGGCUCACCAAGGCGACGAUCCGUAACUGGUCUGAGAGGAUGAUCAGUCACACUGGAACUGAGACACGGUCCAGACCCCCACGGGAGGCAGCAGUGGGGAAUAUUGGACAAUGGGCGAAAGCCUGAUCCAGCCAUGCCGCGUGUGUGAAGAAGGUCUUCGGAUUGUAAAGCACUUUAAGUUGGGAGGAAGGGCAUUAACCUAAUACGUUAGUGUUUUGACGUUACCGACAGAAUAAGCACCGGCUAACUUCGUGCCAGCAGCCGCGGUAAUACGAAGGGUGCAAGCGUUAAUCGGAAUUACUGGGCGUAAAGCGCGCGUAGGUGGUUCGUUAAGUUGGAUGUGAAAGCCCCGGGCUCAACCUGGGAACUGCAUCCAAAACUGGCGAGCUAGAGUACGGUAGAGGGUGGUGGAAUUUCCUGUGUAGCGGUGAAAUGCGUAGAUAUAGGAAGGAACACCAGUGGCGAAGGUGACCACCUGGACUGAUACUGACACUGAGGUGCGAAAGCGUGGGGAGCAAACAGGAUUAGAUAACCCUGGUAGUCCACGC
rnacentral:rRNA from 1 species